GGAGGUGUGCCCGAGCAAUUAAGGACUACUUUGAUAGAGUACACCACAGGGACUAAUACCCCUCACCUCCU
rnacentral:tRNA from 1 species